AGAGUUUGAUCCUGGCUCAGGAUUAACGCUGGCGGCGUGCCUAACACAUGCAAGUCGAACGGAAUAUCUUCGGAUAUUUAGUGGCGAACGGGUGAGUAAUGUACAGGUAAUGUACCUUCGUACUGCGAAUAACAAGCUGAAAAGUUUGCUAAUACGGAAUAGUUUCCUUCGAGGGCAUCCUUAAAGGAAUAAAGAUUUAUCGUGCGGAGAUCAGCCUGUAUCCUAUUAGUUAGUUGGUGGGGUAAUGGCCUACCAAGACGACGAUGGGUAACUGGUCUGAGAGGAUGAGCAGUCACAUUGGAACUGAGAAACGGUCCAAACUCCUACGGGAGGCAGCAGUGAGGAAUUUUGCGCAAUGGGGGAAACCCUGACGCAGCAACGCCGCGUGAGUGACGACGGCCUUCGGGUUGUAAAGCUCUGUCGUGUGUGACGAGUAGGGACGGUAACACACAAGGAAGCCUCGGCUAACUACGUGCCAGCCGCCGC
rnacentral:rRNA from 1 species